ensembl:processed_transcript R74862 expressed sequence R74862
GGGUGGCCAAGAACUGGGGCACCGUGCGCAGCAGCACGCGGCCCGGGCCACCCUGCCUUCUAGGCCUGGAGCUCGAGCCCCCAGGGUGGCAAUACCAAGCUGGAGGGUAAGCAAGGGUGGAGUAAUAGUGGGGUUGAGGUCUCCGAGGCAAGUACGGAGCGUGCCCCCACCACUUCGAGGCCGCCUAUCCAGGGGCGGUGGCUACGAUGAGCUCAUGGGGGCGGGGCGCCAAGAUCCCGCCCUUCUCGACCCCCCCCCCCCCCACUGCUCGCGAUGCAGGAUGGUCCCCAAAACAACGUUCAGGAGGGUGCGAGUACCCCCUUCAUAGCUGAGGGCUCUUGAUUACCUGGCUCUAGCCCGCAGACUCUUGCACCAGUUCCCAGCACUCAGAGGGGACAGGCCAGCGAUCCCCUGAUUUCCCGGCCCCAGAAGCCCCUCGAGCCGAGGCCCCGGAAGCUCAGCCCUCGGCCCCAACCCGCUGGCGAGGGGCGCCAGGACCCCGAUCAGGGUUAGGGCGCACGGAGCCCACAGGUGGCGUCGCAACUUCGCGGUUGCGCUGCGCCUUCUCAGCAGGGCCUAGCGCGCUGCCCAGCCUGGCUACCGUGGGGUGCGCCCUGUCCCCAGUGGCUGCUCACCCAGAAGACGAAAUUGAAGACGAAGAGCAGGAUUUCAACAUAGACCAAAGACCAGCAUCUCUUCAGGAAUUUUCUAGGACUCCAGCACUAGAUGGUACUGCUGAGACACCCAGUCUUGGGGACUGAACAACUGCCAGAUUCUUGGCCUUCCCACUGGAAGACUGCUAUUGUUGGAAUACCAGGCUACAGCCGUCAAAGAUCUGAUCUGUCCGUGGUUAAAGAUGUGAGCUCGCCAUGUCUUCCACUUGUUGCUAUGCCUUCCUGCGAUGAUGGACUCUCAUCCCUCUGGAACGAUGUUUCCAGAGCGGUCUAACCUGGGCAGGAGUGAGCACUUUCCAGCAGGUGGCCGAGUACUAAAAGGUGGCCCAGUCUAAAGAAAAAGCAGUGUUGGCUGCCUGCCUGCCUUCCCUGGGUCUGGAGCCAGGGUGUCCAUCUGCUGCCACUGUCUUCUUUUGACGUCAGACUGAAGUUUCUUCAGCCUUCUCUAACAAGAACGAAACACCAGUGACUCUUCAGGAAUUUUCCAGGCCUUCAGCACCAGACUGAGACUGCUGAAGCGAUCAGCUUUUUGGACUAAACAGCCUGUUUAGUGUUGUGGAGGUCAAUCUAAUAAAUCCUCCUUUAUAACACACAUUUCCUCUAUUAGUUCUGUCUCCAAAGAACCCUAUUUCAUCCACAUUGAGGUACCAGUAGUAGGUUCUAGAGAGGCAGAACUCUAAGGAUGGAUUUCUCUAGUGGGCUUGAUGGUGUUUGACCUGGCUCUCCAAUUCAUCUACACUUGGAAUUGCUAAAGACUCUACACUUCUCUGGUAGUGUAGAGAGAGCAUUACCAAUCCAUCUUAGGGGUUCAAGAACUGUACAGUGAGUUCACACAUACACACGCAUACAUGUGCACACAUGUAUAGAUAAACAAACAAAUUAAAUAAAUAAAUGUAACCUAAAAAUUAAAAUAAGAGGAAAGAGAAUGGCCCUUCCUUCCAAGAAUGGAUGUGGGCUGAGAGGUGGCAAAGGCUUGAAUCUCUGAUGGUGCUGAGCCAGAACAGUCAUGAGCCUCUGUGGGUCGCAUAGUACUCACAUAGUACCCACUUAGUACCCACAUAGUGCCCACAUGCUCCACAUUUGGAGCAUAAAGGGCAGGAGCUUUCCUCGGGGGUGCUCUGACCCUGGUAUGUGUCCUUUGUUAUAUGUUUCCAGCCUUCUGUUACCAUUGGUCUCUUCUAUAUGCUAAUCUUCAUCCUCCUUUCCCCCAACAUGCCAUGCUAAUGGACAGCAGAGACCAAACAGUGUCCAUAACUGAUCCAACUUGGGUAUCUCAGUGGUGUGUGUCCCUAAAAGUGCAAUAGAUGGGGGUUAGGGGAGGAGCUUACUAAACACUACUCCAUCUGUGUAGACAAAUUACAGAGCAAAUGAAACAUUUACCUUGAAAGACUGGAGAGGCAGCUCAGUGUUUAAGAGCACUGGCUACUCUUCCAGAGAGCCUGGGGUUCAAUUCCCCCCACCCAUAUAGCAGUUCACAACAGUCUGUAAUGCCUGUAGUCCUAUGGGCUCCAAUGUCCUCUUUUGACUUCUGCAAGCACCAGGCAUGCAAGUGGUACACAGAUAGGCAUGCAGGUAUACCACGCAUAC